UACGUAGGGUGCGAGCGUUAAUCGGAAUUACUGGGCGUAAAGUGUGCGCAGGUGGCCGCGCAAGUCGAGUGUGAAAUCCCCGAGCUUAACUUGGGAAUUGCGCUCGAAACUACGUGGCUCGAGUGUGGCAGAGGAAGGUGGAAUUCCACGUGUAGCGGUGAAACGCGUAGAGAUGUGGAGGAACACCGAUGGCGAAGGCAGCCUUCUGGGCCAACACUGACGCUCAUGCACGAAAGCGUGGGGAGCAAACAGG
rnacentral:rRNA from 1 species